UGCGUAGGCGGUUUAUCAAGUCAGGGGUGAAAGGCUACGGCUCAACCGUAGUGAGCCUCUGAAACUGGUGAACUUGAGUGUAGGAGAGGAAAGUGGAAUUCCCAGUGUAGCGGUGAAAUGCGUAGAUAUUGGGAGGAACACCAGUGGCGAAGGCGACUUUCUGGACUACAACUGCGCUGAGGCACGAAAGCGUGGGGAGCAAACA
rnacentral:rRNA from 1 species